rnacentral:rRNA from 1 species
GGUUAAAAAAGCUCGUAGUUGAAACCUUGGGCCUGGCUGGCCGGUCCGCCUCACCGCGUGUACUGGUCCGGCCGGGCCUUUCCCUCUGUGGAACCCCAUGCCCUUCACUGGGUGUGGCGGGGAAACAGGACUUUUACUGUGAAAAAAUUAGAGUGCUCCAGGCAGGCCUAUGCUCGAAUACAUUAGCAUGGAAUAAUAGAAUAGGACGUGUGGUUCUAUUUUGUUGGUUUCUAGGACCGCCGUAAUGAUUAAUAGGGACAGUCGGGGGCAUCAGUAUUCAAUUGUCAGAGGUGAAAUUCUUGGAUUUAUUGAAGACUAACUACUGCGAAAGCAUUUGCCAAGGAUGUUUUCAUUAAUCAGGAACGAAAGUUAGGGGAUCGAAGACGAUCAGAUACCGUCGUAGUCUUAACCAUAAACUAUGCCGACUAGGGAUCGGACGGUGUUAUUUUUUGACCCGUUCGGCACCUUACGAGAAAUCAAAGUGCUUGGGCUCCAGGGGGAGUAUGGUCGCAAGGCUGAAACUUAAAGAAAUUGACGGAGGGGCACCACCAGGGGUGGGAGCCUGCGGGCUUAAUUUGACUCAACACGGGGAAAACUCACCAGGUCCAGACACAAUGAGGAUUGACAGAUUGAAGAGCUCUUUCUUGAUUUUGUGGGUGGGUGGUGCAUGGCCGUUCUUAGUUGGUGGAGUGAUUUUGUCUGCUUAAUUGCGAUAACGAACGAGACCUUAAGCUGCUAAAUAGCCCCGUAUUGCUUAGGGAGUAACGCUGGCUUCUUAGAGCGAAUUGCCGGGUCAAGCCGAUG